rnacentral:rRNA from 2 species
CUAGUAACUGCGAGUGAAGCGGGAAAAGCUCAAAUUUAAAAUCUGGUGGUCUUAUGGCCGUCCGAGUUGUAGUCUGGAGAAGUGCUUUCCGUGCUGGACCGUGUACAAGUCUCUUGGAACAGAGCGUCAUAGAGGGUGAGAAUCCCGUCUUUGACACGGACUACCAGUGCUUUGUGAUGCGCUCUCAAAGAGUCGAGUUGUUUGGGAAUGCAGCUCAAAAUGGGUGGUAAAUUCCAUCUAAAGCUAAAUAUUGGCGAGAGACCGAUAGCGAACAAGUACCGUGAGGGAAAGAUGAAAAGCACUUUGGAAAGAGAGUUAAACAGUACGUGAAAUUGCUGAAAGGGAAACGCUUGAAGUCAGUCGCGUUGGCCAGGACUCAGCCUUGCUUUUGCUUGGUGCAUUUUCUGGUUGACGGGCCAGCAUCGAUUUUGACCAUUGGAAAAAGAUUAGGGGAAUGUGGCACCUUCGGGUGUGUUAUAGCCGUUAGUCACAUACAGUGGUUGGGAUCGAGGACCGCAGCACGGCGUUAUGGGCGAAGCCCGGCCGGGCCAAUGGCCUGGCUUCGCCCACGUUCGUGCUUAGGAUGCUGGCGUAAUGGCUUUAAACGACCCGUCUUGAAACACGGACCAAGGAGUCUAACAUGCCUGCGAGUGUUUGGGUGGAAAACCCGAGCGCGUAAUGAAAGUGAAAGUUGAGAUCCUUGUCAUGGGGAGCAUCGACGCCCGGACCUGAACUUCGGUGAUGGAUCUGCGGUAGAGCAUGUAUGUUGGGACCCGAAAGAUGGUGAACUAUGCCUGAAUAGGGUGAAGCCAGAGGAAACUCUGGUGGAGGCUCGUAGCGAUUCUGACGUGCAAAUCGAUCGUCAAAUUUGGGUAUAGGGGCGAAAGACUAAUCGAACCAUCUAGUAGCUGGUUCCUGCCGAAGUUUCCCUCAGGAUAGCAGAAACUCGUAUCAGAUUUAUGUGGUAAAGCGAAUGAUUAGAGGCCUUGGGGUUGAAACAACCUUAACCUAUUCUCAAACUUUAAAUAUGUAAGAACAACCUGUCACUUGAUUGGACCGGUUGGCGAUUG